rnacentral:rRNA from 1 species
AAUAUUGGACAAUGGGCGAAAGCCUGAUCCAGCCAUGCCGCGUGAGUGAUGAAGGCCCUAGGGUUGUAAAGCUCUUUCACCGGUGAAGAUAAUGACGGUAGCCGGAGAAGAAGCCCCGGCUAACUUCGUGCCAGCAGCCGCGGUAAUACGAAGGGGGCUAGCGUUGUUCGAAAUUACUGGGCGUAAAGCGCACGCAGGCGGACAUUUAAGUCAGGGGUGAAAUCCCGGGGCUCAACCCCGGAACUGCCUUUGAUACUGAGUGUCUUGAGUCCGAGAGAGGUGAGUGGAAUUCCGAGUGUAGAGGUGAAAUUCGUAGAUAUUCGGAGGAACACCAGUGGCGAAGGCGGCUCACUGGCUCGGUACUGACGCUGAUGUGCGAAAGUGUGGGGAGCAAACAGGAUUAGAUACCCUGGUAGUCCACACCGUAAACGAUGGAAGCUAGCCGUCGGGCAGUAUACUGUUCGGUGGCGCAGUUAACGCAUUAAGCUUCCCGCCUGGGGAGUACGGUCGCAAGAUUAAAACUCAAAGGA